UGGUUGUGACAGUCGACCGACGCUCUCUCAACAGGAUGGCUGCUAGGUCUAACGGGACGAGAAUCCUCGCACAAGAGCUGGACUCGAAACCAGAGCAGAAAGUGCAGUUAAAAAAACAGAUCACACUUUUUCACUGCGUCUCUAUCAUUGUGGGUAUUAUUAUCGGAGCAGGGAUUUUUGUGUCGCCCGUGGGUAUUCUCUACAAUGUGCACUCUGUCGGCAUGUCUUGUGUAUUGUGGGCGCUGUGUGGAGUUUACUCAACGCUAUGUGCCCUGUGUUUUGCAGAACUUGGUGCUUCGAUUCCUGAAUCGGGAGGCGAAUAUGUGUACAUAAAACGUGCAUUUGGGGAUUGUCCGGCGUUCCUGUGUCUCUGGGUGAAUCUUAUCAUUCUGUGUCCCGUGGGCGUGGCCGCAGCUAGUUUGAUUUUUGCCACCUACACUCUUCGUCCCGUCUUCCCCGACUGCGAUCCCCCGUCUUCAUCUAUUAGGCUCCUCGCAGCGAUAAUCAUCAUCCUCUUGAUCGCGUUAAACUGCAUGAACGUGAAGUGGGCCACCAAAGUACAAGCUGUCAUCACCACCAGCAAACUCAUCGCUCUCUUUAUCAUCAUUAUCAUCGGAUUCAUGUGGCUUGGCAAAGGUGAGACUGCUCAGUUCGAGAACUCGUUUGAGGGCAGCGAUUACAGUGCAGGUGCCAUAGCUGUAGGUUUCUACUCUGGGUUCUGGGCCUUCGGGGGUUGGAACUACUUAAACUUCCUGUGUGACGAAGUGAUAGAUCCUCAUCGCAAUGUCCCUCGUGCUAUCGUUAUCUCCAUGACGAUAGUGACAAGCGUCUACAUCACGGCCAACAUCGCCUACUUCGCUGUGCUGACUCCGGCGGAGAUGCUCGACUCCACUGCGGUCGCUGUCACGUUCUCUGCCCGCACCGUGCCUGUUCUACAGUGGAUCAUGCCAGUGCUGAUAGCCGUGUCUGUGAUCGGAGCUAUGAACGGAUCCUGUCUCUCUAUGUCCAGGUUGUUUUUCGCUGGUGCUAAACACAAUCACUUGCCGAGUUUCAUAUCAAUGAUCACAUUGAAACAUCUCACGCCAGCGCCAUCUUUAAUAGUUAUUCUCAUCCUGACUCUCCUCAUGCAGUGUUUUGAGAAUAUAUUCUACCUAAUAGAAAUGAUGGGAUUUAGUUUUGCGACGGUGUUAUGUGCUGUACUGGCUGGUCAGGUGUAUCUUAGAUGGAAAGAACCAGAUAUGCCUCGCCCUAUAAAGCUCCCUGUGGCCAUACCUAUUUUCCUCUUCAUGGUCAGCGUGCUCAUCUUCAUAUUAACAAUAUACCAGAAGCCCAAUGAAAGCGGCGUUGCUCUUCUGCUGAUGCUGUUAGGUCUUCCUGUGUAUGUGAUUGGGACCGUAUGGUCGAAACCCGCGUCAGUUAAACACAAACUAGACUCCUUGACUAGGUUGAUACAGCUGAUAUUGAUAGUCCUUCCUGUGGACAAAGACGACAACUCGGACUGAGGCAAAAGUUGGAUCGUAUUUAUUCUUGUAUCACCGGCGUAAAUCAACAAAGAGACACAGCGAGCGAUGCGGAGUGGGGUUCGAGGGAGGCCGACAUUUCGCUGACUCAGCGAUGGGAUAAAAUGACGACCAUCAUCUUUUCGUGUUACGUGAUGCAUGACAUACGAUACUAAUCUAAACGCCAUACAAAGUGCACGGACCUUAGCCACAGGUUGUGUUCAGUUUAAUCCCCAAGAGAAGAGGCGAGACCAACGACCGAGGGAUUUUUACCUGUACCGCCAAACCUACAAACCUCAUUAUAAUGUCAGAAUUUUAAUCAAUGGCGUUAUUCCGAGGCACAUAUGUAAGUGGUGGGGGAAAUAUAUGGAAAGUAUGUAAUAAUAGCGUAGAUAUAUCCGUCCUGCCACUUUUGUGGCAAUGUGUUUGGUAUUAAAAUUAUUGACUGUAUAACGAGAUGCCAGUCGGUGUAAACAUGAUACUGUCCAAUCAUAACAGGGACAGUCGAACUAGGUACUCGUAGACUGGAUGGGUGGAUAGGGAGGGUGGACUGGCUGGGUAGAUGGAAGUGGAUGGUUAGCUGGGUUCUCUGGGUGGUGAAGCUGUGUGUGUAAGGUGGGUGGACAGGCUAGGUGGACUUGGUGGGUGGGUGGAUUUUGUGGGUUGGUGCACUGGCUGGGUGAACAUAGUGGGUGGAUUCGCUAGUUGGUUAAGCUGUGUGUACAGUGUGAGUGGACAGGAUAGGUGGACUUGGUGGGUGGAUGGACUUGGUGCACUGGCUGGGUGGACAUGGUGUGUGGAUUCGCUAGUUGUUAAGCUGUUUGUAUAGGGUGGGUGGACAAGCAGGAUGGACUUGGUGGGUGGAUGGACUUGGUGCACUGGCUGGGUGGACAUGGUGGGUGGAUUCGCUAGUUGUUAAGCUGUGUGUAUAGGGUGGGUGGACAAGCAGGAUGGACUUGGUUGGUGGAUGGACUUGGUGCACUGGCUGGGUGGACAUGGUGGGUGGAUUCGCUAGUUGGUUAAGUUGUGUGUAUAGGGUGGGUGGACAAGAUAUGUGGACUUGGUGGGUGGAUGGACUGGGUGGACGUGGUGGGUGGAUUCGCUUGUUAGUUAAGCUGUGUGCGUGGACAAGCAGGAUGGACUUGGUGGGUGGAUGGACUUGGUGCACUGGCUGGGUGGACUUGGUGGGUGGAUGGACUUGGUGCACUGGCUGGGUGGACAUGGUGGGUGAAUUCGCUAGUUGGUUAAGCUAUGUGUAUAGAGUGCGUGGACAAGCAGGAUGGACUUGGUGGGUGGAUGGACUUGGUGCACUGGCUGGGUGGACUUGGUGGGUGGAUGGACUUGGUGCACUGGCUGGGUGGACAUGGUGGGUGGAUUCGCUAGUUGGUUAAGUUGUGUGUAUAGGGUGGGUGGACAAGAUAUGUGGACUUGGUGGGUGGAUGGACUUGGUGCACUGGCUGGGUGGACAUGGUGGGUGGAUGGACUUGGUGCACUGGCUGGGUGGACAUGGUGGGUGGAUUCGCUAGUUGGUUAAGUUGUGUGUAUAGGGUGGGUGGACAAGAUAUGUGGACUUGGUGGGUGGAUGGACUGGGUGGACAUGGUGGGUGGAUUCGCUUGUUAGUUAAGCUGUGUGCGUGGACAAGCAGGAUGGACUUGGUGGGUGGAUGGACUUGGUGCACUGGCUGGGUGGACAUGGUGGGUGGAUGGACUUGGUGCACUGGCUGGGUGGACUUGGUGGGUGGAAUCACUAGUUGUUAAGCUGUGUGUAUAGGGUGAGUGGACAAGCAGGAUAGACUUGGUGGGUGGAUGGACUUGGUGCACUGGCUGGGUGGACAUGGUGGGUGGAAUCGCUAGUUGUUAAGCUGUGUGUAUAGGGUGGGUGGACAAGCGGGAUGGACUUGGUGGGUGGAUGGACUUGGUGCACUGGCUGGGUGGACAUGGUGGGUGGAUGGACUUGGUGCACUGGCUGGGUGGACAUGGUGGGUGGAUGGAC
rnacentral:misc_RNA from 1 species